rnacentral:ncRNA from 1 species
UAAUAGCAUGACGGGUGUCCAGGUCCUCAAUUGUUUCUUUCAGCUCAGUCUAGCUCUGGAGAUUGUGGUCUCACGACCCUCUCUUCAUCGCGAGUCAGAGCUGGAUGAGGCAAUUGAAGACCUGGUUCUGAGAUUAUACCGUAUGAACUUGAUCUAGACAAUUCUAGCGCAUAAGGACAUGCUUCCCCUCCCCU